rnacentral:snoRNA from 1 species
ACAACAUGAUGGGGACAUUUUCGGAUAAGAUCCUUUAAUCUUUCCCAUGAUUCAAGGAACUGCUCACUAUCAUGCUGUGUAAAGCUUGAGGAACUCGUGCUGUAAUUGU